rnacentral:lncRNA from 1 species
CACCACGGGACACCAUGCCCACUGCACCCCAGCCCCUUGCCUGCCACUCCAGGACCUUGCAGAGCCAGAGGCAAAGGCGACCAUGAGAUGCUUCAGUGCUAGUCUUUGGGAGACCCCUGGUCCCUGUCUUUCAGUGCAAUUCUCUUUGCCAGUAGACAUCCGGGCUAUGAAAAGCAUAUGUGCUACACCUUUAAAAUUCCCUUUGCCCUUAGCUGUGAAUAGGGUUCCAUUGUCUGUUGCCAUCCUACCAGAGAGAGAGCAUUGUGUAGUCGGACAAAACUUGCACCCUUGAGCGACUGAGAGCUCGGUCUCCUCUAAUGAUCCCCAGGCAGGCGCACAUUGCCAAGGGCACACACAUACACCAGUCCUCCUCAAAUUGCACACGGGAAUGCGGAGUGCAACAAUCCCAGCACCUGACCGCCU